GUUGGUGGCUAGGGCUGGGUGGGGGGGAGAUAGAUAGUAGGGCAUCGUGAUGCGUGGGGGAGAGGUAGUCAAAAAAAUUUUUUUGGGUAGGAGAUGUUGUGUGAGGGGGUGAGGCAUGUUGGAGUAAAAUAUCAUCUUCAAUGUAGGAGGGGUCUGUAUGAUAAGGGGUGUUGGGUGUUGAGGUGUUAGAGUAGAGUGUGGGUGGAUAGGGUUGUGGCAGUAGUGGUUGUGGUGGUUAACACUUGUGGGGGUACAACAGGUCCUGUUGUGCCCUAGCGACGGCGGGUGGAGGCUGUGGAGAGAUUAUAAUGAUGAGUGUAAGCAAUAUUGGAUGGAGAUGGGGUUGUGUGUUGUUAUCAGAAGGAAAGUGGGAAGGAGGUGAGGUGUGGGAGGGGGUACGUCUUGGGAUCACAGAUUGUGAUACAGCACUUUCCCCGUAUGGUACAUAACUUUUUGGUUUGGAUCGGGUAUUCGUACCAAGACGUAGGGGCCUAAAGUGGUGUGGUAGUGAGGUGGGUGUAAUCGUAUGGUAUGGUGAUGUUGGAUGGUGAUGGUGAGGGAUGGCUAGUAAGGUAAUGUGGAGUGGAGAUGGUAGUAAUGUAAUUACGGUGGAAAGGUGGAUAGGUUAGACUAGUAGGUGGUGGAGGGUGGUUGAAAGAUAGAGUGGGACUUUAGAAUAGGUUGUGGUAGUGUGUGGUGGGUAGGUGAAAAAGCAAAAAAAUAAUAAUAAUAAUAUGGUGUGGUAUGGAGAUGACUAAUGGCUGUGUUGGUGGGGGAAAAUUGGUACGGUGUAUAGGUAAGAGUGGUGGUGAGGGAGAUGUGGAGUAGGUGUAGUUGGUGUCACCACCAGAGGUUCUGCUGGACAAUAAUGGCAACAUUGUGGUCUGUGACGAUGAUGACCCUGCCCGCGUCCGUGCUUUCGAUAUGAUGGAAAUGAGACCCUGUCAAUCAAUGUCAGCGCAGAUGAGCAGAGUUCUGACGCCUCUCAUCACAGUGUCCGUAUUUGCCCUUUCCGCUGAAGACGUUUUUAGAAAUAGGGUUAAACUUUAGAAUUGUUUUUAACCAUCAAAAGAAAAUAAGAAAAGACGCUAGGGAGCAUAUGUCCCAAAAAAAGCUCCCGUGAGAAAUUGGUGAUUAAAGCAAACCACUAGGCUAGUUGUGUUCAGAGGACCUCAAAUAACAAGAAAAUUGAUGUUGCCAAGUAUGCACUUGUCAGGUGCCGUUUAAUGGGGUUUCUAAGAAAUGACGUUUCUCCUCCAACAUGGAAACGAGGCUCUAAAAUAAAAACAAGAGUAUCUUUGACGUUUGUUAAUCAAAUCAUUUCAAAGUUGCAGGAUAUGUUGGGAAACAGAUAUAAGACUACAUAAAAGUCACGUGACUAGCACAGCAUGGAAGCGAAGCUGUUUUAAUUAUUUUAAAAAAUCAUUUUUUUUUUAAAUAAAUAAUUCAUUAUAGCUAAAGCUUCAAUUUAAGCACUUUUUUUAAUAUGGAAAAGCUAGAAUGGGGUACCUGUAAUGAUUUAUUGCUGCUUUUGUAAGAGAAAGGUGCUAGAACGGGCAUUUACGUAUUGUUAAAAAAACGAUUUUUUUAAAUAAUCCAAACAGCUUCGCGUCCAUGCUUUGACUUACGUGACUUUAAGGUAGUCCUAUAUGUGAUCCCAAACAUAUCCUGCUACUUUGAAAUGAUUUGAUUACAAACGUCAAAGACCUCACAGUUUGCAUACUUGGCAACAUCAAUUUUCUUGUUAUUUGAGGUCCUUUGAACACAACUAGCCUAGUGGUUUGCUUAUUUUAUGUCAAUGUAAAAGGAAACAAAGAUAAUUCUAACAAAGGGUUGAUCCAAAUUCCGAGGGGCUAAGAACAAGGGUUAUAAAGCAAAUAUUACAUUCUCUCUUGUCCAACCGCUGGCCAUGAGUGCCUCAUCUCCCUCUGUCAGGGAACGCAACGCCUUGAUGGGGCUAUAAUUUGGGGCGACAGUUUUAAAAAGCACACCGACGCCAUGAUCAUUUUACAGAAGCGUGCUUCCCGAAUAAUAAUGGGUGUAAAAUGGGACCAGCCAUUAGCUGAACUUUUUGCUACUCUGAGAAUAGUCAUUAAAUAAGCGAGUGUGGCGUCUGAAGUGUGAACUUAUGUUUAAGACUUUAAAUGGGCGCACCCCCGAAUAUUUAAGUAAUAAGUUUAAGCAAUUUUGUUCUCAACAUACGAUCAAUACAAGAAAUAGCAAACGCUGAGGCCUGAUUUUACCUCGUGUCCAUCGCACUCUCGGACAACAAACUUUCGCCUUUGGUGGGGCCAAAGCAUGGAACGCUCUUCCAUUGAAUAUUAGGGAAAGCGAAUCCCCUUACUACCUUUAGUACUACACUAAAGGCUUUAUAGUUAAACAUGUUAAUACUGUUCCUACUGAAAAUUGUGUCGUUUAACAUUAUUGACUGACUGACUGACCGAUCGACCGACCGGCUUACUGACUGACCGACCGAUAGACCGACCGACUUUCUGACUGACUGACCUACCGACCGACCUACUGACUGACUGACAAUUUGGCGCACAAUUUGGUGGCUUCUUUCACUUCACUUUGGGUUUCGACGUCUAGGGUUAGGCGUGUCGUCGCAACUUGGCCAGUGACGCAGAACAAGUGGUGAAAAACUCAAAUCCAAGCGAUCGCGUAACCUUGGGGCGAUACGUUUGCAACGCUAGAAUAUCAAGAAUAUCAAACCAUUAAAAUAUCAAACCAAAUAAAAAUACCAAUCUGAGUCCAUGUCUGAGUAGAGUCUUCUAAUCACUGGAAACAAUGCGUUCCACAGAGUGAAACGUACACGUGAUUCAAAUAUAUUGUAUAUGGUGUCACAAAAAAGAGUUGUUAGCUUCAACGGUUGGAUAUUAAAAAAACGGAAAAAGGUUCUUAUCAGAGGGAUAUUUUAAAUGGUGUCUGCGUAAUCAUGUUCGGUGAAGAUUCUACUUUUCAGAGGUAAGAAAUGAUUUCUCAGCUCCUUCCUUCAUUUGAUAAAAAUGAACGUAAAACAAUGCAAGAAAGGUUAACUGUAUUUUUAAUUUGCUCAAGAAUGAUUUUCUCAGGAACACAAAAAAACGUUGUUUUUUUUUUGUCUUAGCGUUUAUUUUACCCUCGGCAUUCAAUGAUUUCAAACGCGCGCUCGACUUAAAAGCUUUCUUUUUUCAUCUAAAAAAAUCUCACAAAUGUAUUGAAGGGACGUGAUUUGUGUUAGAACUACGAAAUUCUGAAUGAAAAAUGUGCUGUCCGCUUCUAGAAAUAAAUACCUUUUGGCUUUCUGUAGGAUAAUUGAAAAUGGCGCCUACGAUUUCGAUCUCUCGUGGAAGAAAAAUGCUUGAAUUAGAGAUUCUCUAUGUCUUAUCAUCGAUAAUUUAUUUUAAUAAUAUGAUAACAAUUACAAUAAUAAUAACAAAAAUAAUAAUGAUUUAUCUAGCCACGUAAAAACACCUUAGAGUCAGAUGCUCUUUAUAACGAGUACUUCUUCUCGUUUGAAUUCUCCAGGCGAAGAGUCUGGAGAGGUCAAAGGAGAAGAAGUUCUCGAUACCACGCCUGCUCUACCACCAGCAAGCGACCAAUAACUAUGAGGCUUCCCUCUUAGGCGGCCACUGCAGAAGACAAUAGGAGGCUUGGUGCCCAAGUGCUCAGAGUGGUUCUUCCUCGCAAAAGGAAAUGGGGAUUUGCCCGCGAUCCCCGGGCAAAGGGUAUGUCUUGAUGUCUGACAACCAUCUUGGGAACCGACCAUUUAAUAUCUGAAGGGUAAGUAAAACACGAGUUAGAAUUUCUAAAAGAAUCGAGAAAGCAAUCCUUAGCUAAAAGACAAAACCAAAUUUCAGUUUAGAAAGUCAACAGGCCGCGAAAAAGAUGCAUAUUCAUGUGGUAAGGAUAGUAGAUAGUCAGUCCCUUGUAUGUAAACAAUUUAGUAGAAUUAUAUUUGAGAGUUUACAUAACUGGAAAAGGUUUUCUAACUUACCAUCCCUACGUCUCUGAAGCUAUCUAUCUAUAUAUAUAUGAAAUUUACUUGAGUCACUGGAUUGUGUUUUCUCGACGUUUCGGGGAUGUUGCCUUCAUCAGGAUUAACUGUAAAUUAUGACGAGUAAAAACUAAACAAAUAUAAAAGUCCCAGUGCGCGCGCACGGGGAUGUCCGCGCGUUCGUUCAAAGCAUGGUCAGUCCUACAUUAGGAGGGAUUUGACACCCUCCCCAUGAUGCACUUCGUCAAAGCAUAUUAAUAUAUAGAUUUAGGCACUGCCUAAAAGCGGAGCCAGCAUUGAAAGAAUGUUUUUUAAUGAGAUUAAAAAAGCAAUUUUUACUGCCAUGUUAUUAUGAAUUGUAUUGACCCCUCCAAAUGGAUCAAGCAAGCACUUAUUCAAGGUGCCUUAGUUGAUGACAAUGUUUUUCAAGAGUCUAAUGGUCAAUUCUUAUUUGUCCCACUAUGCAUAUUUUUUUAUCAAAACAGCAUAAUAACAUCUUUGACCUUGUAAAGAAUAUAUUAAGGAUGUAACAGCAUUCCAAAGAUUUAGAUGCCAUUCUGUAGUUUCCAUGUACUGCAACUGAUUAUUCAGAAGAAUGUGUUGAAAUUAAUACAUAUUAGUGCAC